rnacentral:rRNA from 1 species
AUUGAACGCUGGCGGCAGGCCUAACACAUGCAAGUCGAAUGGUAACAGGAAACAGCUUGCUGUUUCGCUGACGAGUGGCGGACGGGUGAGUAAUGUCUGGGAAACUGCCUGAUGGAGGGGGAUAACUACUGGAAACGGUAGCUAAUACCGCAUAACGUCGCAAGACCAAGAGGGGGACCUUCGGGCCUUUUGCCAUCAAAAGUGGCCAGAUGGGAUUAGCUAGUAGGUGGGGUAACGGCUUACCUAGGCGACCAUCCCUAGCUGGUCUGAGAGGAUGACCAGCCACACUGGAACUGAGACACGGUCCAGACUCCUACGGGAGGCAGCAGUGGGGAAUAUUGCACAAUGGGCGCAAGCCUGAUGCAGCCAUGCCGCGUGUAUGAAGAAGGCCUUCGGGUUGUAAAGUACUUUCAGCGGGGAGGAAGGGAGUAAAGUUAAUACCUUGGCUCAUUGACGUUACCCGAAGAAGAAGCACCGGCUAACUCCGUG